rnacentral:rRNA from 1 species
GAUGAACGCUGGCGGCGUGCCUAAUACAUGCAAGUCGAGCGAACGGACGAGAAGCUUGCUUCUCUGAUGUUAGCGGCGGACGGGUGAGUAACACGUGGAUAACCUACCUAUAAGACUGGGAUAACUUCGGGAAACCGGAGCUAAUACCGGAUAAUAUUUUGAACCGCAUGGUUCAAAAGUGAAAGACGGUCUUGCUGUCACUUAUAGAUGGAUCCGCGCUGCAUUAGCUAGUUGGUAAGGUAACGGCUUACCAAGGCAACGAUGCAUAGCCGACCUGAGAGGGUGAUCGGCCACACUGGAACUGAGACGCGGUCCAGACUCCUACGGGAGGCAGCAGUAGGGAAUCUUCCGCAAUGGGCGAAAGCCUGACGGAGCAACGCCGCGUGAGUGAUGAAGGUCUUCGGAUCGUAAAACUCUGUUAUUAGGGAAGAACAUAUGUGUAAGUAACUGUGCACAUCUUGACGGUACCUAAUCAGAAAGCCACGGCUAACUACGUGCCAGCAGCCGCGGUAAUACGUAGGUGGCAAGCGUUAUCCGGAAUUAUUGGGCGUAAAGCGCGCGUAGGCGGUUUUUUAAGUCUGAUGUGAAAGCCCACGGCUCAACCGUGGAGGGUCAUUGGAAACUGGAAAACUUGAGUGCAGAAGAGGAAAGUGGAAUUCCAUGUGUAGCGGUGAAAUGCGCAGAGAUAUGGAGGAACACCAGUGGCGAAGGCGACUUUCUGGUCUGUAACUGACGCUGAUGUGCGAAAGCGUGGGGAUCAAACAGGAUUAGAUACCCUGGUAGUCCACGCCGUAAACGAUGAGUGCUAAGUGUUAGGGGGUUUCCGCCCCUUAGUGCUGCAGCUAACGCAUUAAGCACUCCGCCUGGGGAGUACGACCGCAAGGUUGAAACUCAAGGGAAUUGACGGGGACCCGCACAAGCGGUGGAGCAUGUGGUUUAAUUCGAAGCAACGCGAAGAACCUUACCAAAUCUUGACAUCCUUUGACAACUCUAGAGAUAGAGCCUUCCCCUUCGGGGGACAAAGUGACAGGUGGUGCAUGGUUGUCGUCAGCUCGUGUCGUGAGAUGUUGGGUUAAGUCCCGCAACGAGCGCAACCCUUAAGCUUAGUUGCCAUCAUUAAGUUGGGCACUCUAAGUUGACUGCCGGUGACAAACCGGAGGAAGGUGGGGAUGACGUCAAAUCAUCAUGCCCCUUAUGAUUUGGGCUACACACGUGCUACAAUGGACAAUACAAAGGGUAGCGAAACCGCGAGGUCAAGCAAAUCCCAUAAAGUUGUUCUCAGUUCGGAUUGUAGUCUGCAACUCGACUACAUGAAGCUGGAAUCGCUAGUAAUCGUAGAUCAGCAUGCUACGGUGAAUACGUUCCCGGGUCU